rnacentral:rRNA from 1 species
CGGCGAGCGAACGGGGAUCAGCCCAUUAAGUUAUGUGUGUUUUAGUGGAACGCUCUGGGAAGUGCGAACGUAGAGGGUGAUAUUCCCGUACACGAAAGGGCACACAUAAUGAUGACGAGUAGGGCGAGGCACGUGAAACCUUGUCUGAAUAUGGGGGGACCAUCCUCCAAGGCUAAAUACUCGUAAUCGACCGAUAGUGAACAAGUACUGUGAAGGAAAGGCGAAAAGAACCCCUGAGAGGGGAGUGAAAUAGAUCCUGAAACCGCAUGCAUACAAGCAGUGGGAGCCGACUUGUUCGGUGACUGCGUACCUUUUGUAUAAUGGGUCAGCGACUUA